GACGAGGGGUCCUAGCGUUGUUCGGAAUCACUGGGCGUAAAGCGUAUGUAGGCGGCUUUUCAAGUCAGGUGUGAAAUCCCAUGGCUUAACCAUGGAACUGCACUUGAAACUGUAAAGCUUGAGUAUUGGAGAGGAUGGUAGAAUUCCUGGUGUAGUGGUGAAAUACGUAGAUAUCAGGAGGAAUACCGGUGGCGAAGGCGGCCAUCUGGCCAAAUACUGACGCUGAGAUACGAAAGCGUGGGGAGCAAACAGG
rnacentral:rRNA from 1 species